UGGAAAUUGUAAUGUUAUUGAGGAGUUAAAUUUUAUGAAAAUCACCUUGAUUUCCAAAUAUGCUGUACAGGUGUUGUUGUAUUCUUUGUAGAAGAAUCUUCAGCACUUGUUACCACAGAUUUAGAGAUUUCUUCUGCUUCGCAUGCAGGGUAAUUCAAAAUAAAAGAGGAUAGGAAUGGAUCAGCAGACGCAUUGGUUACUGUGUUACUGUGCGACCGGUAUCCACCACCACCAUUAAGAAGCACCUGUAAAUGAGCUUCACGGAGAUCUCGACCUAAAAGAGACAACGUCUGACUGUUCGGAAUAGCAACUCUUCUUAACCUGCGCCUUCUCUGAUAUCUUAAACAGGUGUCCGUGUUGCAGCGUUAUGUGGCUCAACAUGUCGCGUGCAACUUUAACUGAGCAUACAGGACAAAUCUGCAUGAUUAAAAAAAAACGUCUGAGACUAUAUACUAUGUAUUUGAACAAUUGAUUCCUCGCAUAUGAAAGGAAUAUUUUAACCACAUAGUUAAUUAGGUCAUUUAUCAUCCCAAAAGAAAGAAGGUACUAUGUACCGGAUCAAUGAAUUAUAUAAAUGCAAGACUACUUACAAGCAAUACUAACAAGGUAUCAAUC
rnacentral:lncRNA from 1 species